GCAGCCGCGGUAAUACGUAGGUGGCAAGCGUUGUCCGGAUUUACUGGGUGUAAAGGGAGCGCAGGCGGGAGAGCAAGUCAGCUGUGAAAACUAUGGGCUUAACCCAUAGACUGCAGUUGAAACUGUUCUUCUUGAGUGGAGUAGAGGUAAGCGGAAUUCCGAGUGUAGCGGUGAAAUGCGUAGAGAUUCGGAGGAACACCAGUGGCGAAGGCGGCUUACUGGGCUCUAACUGACGCUGAGGCUCGAAAGUGUGGGGAGCAAACAGGAUUAGAUACCCC
rnacentral:rRNA from 1 species